GAGUUUGAUCAUGGCUCAGAUUGAACGCUGGCGGCAUGCCUUACACAUGCAAGUCGAACGGCAGCACGGGAGCUUGCUCCUGGUGGCGAGUGGCGAACGGGUGAGUAAUGCAUCGGAACGUAUCCUGGAGUGGGGGAUAACGUAGCGAAAGUUACGCUAAUACCGCAUAUUCUGUGAGCAGGAAAGCGGGGGACCUUCGGGCCUCGCGCUCUUGGAGCGGCCGAUGUCGGAUUAGCUAGUUGGUAGAGGUAAAGGACUCACCAAGGCGACGAUCCGUAACUGGUCUGAGAGGAUGAUCAGUCACACUGGAACUGAGACACGGUCCAGACUCCUACGGGAGGCAGCAGUGGGGAAUAUUGGACAAUGGGCGAAAGCCUGAUCCAGCCAUGCCGCGUGUGUGAAGAAGGUCUUCGGAUUGUAAAGCACUUUAAGUUGGGAGGAAGGGCAGUAAGUUAAUACCUUGCUGUUUUGACGUUACGACAGAAUAAGC
rnacentral:rRNA from 1 species